rnacentral:rRNA from 3 species
CAAGUAAUUAAGUGCAUGUGGUGGAUGCCUUGGCAGUCAGAGGCGAUGAAAGACGUGAUAGCCUGCGAAAAGCUCCGGGGAGGCGGCAAAUAUCCUUUGAUCCGGAGAUGUCUGAAUGGGGGAACCCACCUACUUUAAGGUAGGUAUUGCAACAUGAAUACAUAGUGUUGCAAGGCGAACGAGGGGAAGUGAAACAUCUCAGUACCCUUAGGAAAAGAAAUCAAUUGAGAUUCCCUCAGUAGCGGCGAGCGAACGGGGAUCAGCCCAUUAAGUUAUGUGUGUUUUAGUGGAACGCUCUGGGAAGUGCGAACGUAGAGGGUGAUAUUCCCGUACACGAAAGGGCACACAUAAUGAUGACGAGUAGGGCGAGGCACGUGAAACCUUGUCUGAAUAUGGGGGGACCAUCCUCCAAGGCUAAAUACUCCUGACUGACCGAUAGUGAACCAGUACCGUGAGGGAAAGGCGAAAAGAACCCCUGUGAGGGGAGUGAAAUAGAUCCUGAAACCGCAUGCAUACAAGCAGUGGGAGCACCUUCGUGGUGUGACUGCGUACCUUUUGUAUAAUGGGUCAGCGACUUAUAUUCAGUAGCGAGGUUAACCGUAUAGGGGAGCCGUAGAGAAAUCGAGUCUUAAUAGGGCGUUUAGUUGCUGGGUAUAGACCCGAAACCAGGCGAUCUAUCCAUGAGCAGGUUGAAGGUUGGGUAACACUAACUGGAGGACCGAACCCACUGUCGUUGAAAAGCCAGGGGAUGACUUGUGGAUAGGGGUGAAAGGCUAAUCAAGCCUGGUGAUAGCUGGUUCUCCCCGAAAGCUAUUUAGGUAGCGCCUCGGACGAAUACCAUAGGGGGUAGAGCACUGUUUCGGCUAGGGGGUCAUCCCGACUUACCAAACCGAUGCAAACUCCGAAUACCUAUGAGUACUAUCCGGGAGACAGACUGCGGGUGCUAACGUCCGUAGUCAAGAGGAAAACAAUCCAGACCGCCAGCUAAGGCCCCAAAAUCAUAGUUAAGUGGGAAACGAUGUGGGAAGGCAUAGACAGCUAGGAGGUUGGCUUAGAAGCAGCCACCCUUUAAAGAAAGCGUAAUAGCUCACUAGUCGAGUCGGCCUGCGCGGAAGAUGUAACGGGGCUAAAACUAUGUGCCGAAGCUGCGGAUGUAUACUUUGUAUACGUGGUAGGGGAGCGUUCUGUAAGCCGAUGAAGGUGUGUUGAGAAGCAUGCUGGAGGUAUCAGAAGUGCGAAUGCUGACGUGAGUAACGACAAAACGGGUGAAAAACCCGUUCGCCGAAAGACCAAGGGUUCCAGUCCAACGUUAAUCGGGGCUGGGUGAGUCGACCCCUAAGGCGAGGCCGAAAGGCGUAGUCGAUGGGAAAAUGGUUAAUAUUCCAUUACUUCUGUGUAAUGCGAUGAGAGGACGGAGAAGGCUAAAUCAGCCUGGCGUUGGUUGUCCAGGUGAAAGGAUGUAGGCAUGUAUCUUAGGCAAAUCCGGGGUACUCUAUGCUGAGAUCUGAUAGCAAGCUGUACUUGUACAGCGAAGUGGUUGAUGCCAUGCUUCCAGGAAAAGUCUCUAAGCUUCAGUUACACAGGAAUCGUACCCGAAACCGACACAGGUGGUCAGGUCGAGUAGACCAAGGCGCUUGAGAGAACUCUGCUGAAGGAACUAGGCAAAAUGGUACCGUAACUUCGGGAGAAGGUACGCUGUUGUUGGUGAUGGAACUCGCUUCCUGAGCUGACGACAGCCGCAGAAACCAGGCCGCUGCAACUGUUUAUUAAAAACAUAGCACUCUGCAAACACGAAAGUGGACGUAUAGGGUGUGAUGCCUGCCCGGUGCUGGAAGGUUAAUUGAUGGGGUUAGCGUAAGCGAAGCUCUUGAUCGAAGCCCCAGUAAACGGCGGCCGUAACUAUAACGGUCCUAAGGUAGCGAAAUUCCUUGUCGGGUAAGUUCCGACCUGCACGAAUGGCAUAAUGAUGGCGGCGCUGUCUCCAGCAGAGGCUCAGUGAAAUCGAAAUCGCUGUGAAGAUGCAGUGUACCCGCGGCUAGACGGAAAGACCCCGUGAACCUUUACUGCAGCUUGACACUGAACUUUGACCUUACUUGUGUAGGAUAGGUGGGAGGCUUUGAAGCUGGAACGCUAGUUCCAGUGGAGCCGUCCUUGAAAUACCACCCUGGUAAUGUUGAGGUUCUAACUCUGUCCCGUGAUCCGGGACGAGGACCGUGUCUGGUGGGUAGUUUGACUGGGGCGGUCUCCUCCUAAAGAGUAACGGAGGAGUACGAAGGUGCGCUCAGCGUGGUCGGAAAUCACGCGUAGAGUAUAAAGGCAAAAGCGCGCUUAACUGCGAGACCCACAAGUCGAGCAGGUACGAAAGUAGGUCUUAGUGAUCCGGUGGUUCUGUAUGGAAGGGCCAUCGCUCAACGGAUAAAAGGUACUCUGGGGAUAACAGGCUGAUACCGCCCAAGAGUUCAUAUCGACGGCGGUGUUUGGCACCUCGAUGUCGGCUCAUCUCAUCCUGGGGCUGAAGCAGGUCCCAAGGGUAUGGCUGUUCGCCAUUUAAAGAGGUACGCGAGCUGGGUUUAGAACGUCGUGAGACAGUUCGGUCCCUAUCUACCGUGGGCGCUGGAAAUUUGAGAGGAUCUGCUCCUAGUACGAGAGGACCAGAGUGGACAAACCUCUGGUGUACCGGUUGUGACGCCAGUCGCAUCGCCGGGUAGCUAUGUUCGGAAGGGAUAACCGCUGAAAGCAUCUAAGCGGGAAGCCUACCUCAAGAUAAGAUUUCCCUAGGACUUUAUGUCCUCUAAAGAGCCGUUCGAGACUAGGACGUUGAUAGGUUGGAUGUGGAAGCAUAGUGAUAUGUGAAGCUGACCAAUACUAAUUGCUCGUGAGGCUUGACUA